GGGGGUAUAGCUCAGCUGGUAGAGCAUCUGAUUUGCAUUCAGAAGGUCAGGAGUUCGAUUCUCCUUGCCUCCA
rnacentral:tRNA from 3 species